AUUGAACGCUGGCGGCAGGCCUAACACAUGCAAGUCGAACGGUAACAGGAAGAAGCUUGCUUCUUUGCUGACGAGUGGCGGACGGGUGAGUCAUGUCUGGGAAACUGCCUGAUGGAGGGGGAUAACUACUGGAAACGGUAGCUAAUACCGCAUAACGUCGCAAGACCAAAGAGGGGGACCUUCGGGCCUCUUGCCAUCGGCUGUGCCCAGAUGGGAUUAGCUAGUAGGUGGGGUAACGGCUCACCUAGGCGACGAUCCCUAGCUGGUCUGAGAGGAUGACCAGCCACACUGGAACUGAGACACGGUCCAGACUCCUACGGGAGGCAGCAGUGGGGAAUAUUGCACAAAGGGCGCAAGCCUGAUGCAGCCAUGCCGCGUGUAUGAAGAAGGCCUUCGGGUUGUAAAGUACUUUCAGCGGGGAGGAAGGGAGUAAAGUUAAUACCUUUGCUCAUUGACGUUACCCGCAGAAGAAGCACCGGCUAACUCCGUG
rnacentral:rRNA from 1 species